rnacentral:rRNA from 1 species
GAUGAACGCUGGCGGCGUGCCUAAUACAUGCAAGUCGAGCGAAUGGAUUAAGAGCUUGCUCUUAUGAAGUUAGCGGCGGACGGGUGAGUAACACGUGGGUAACCUGCCCAUAAGACUGGGAUAACUCCGGGAAACCGGGGCUAAUACCGGAUAACAUUUUGAACCGCAUGGUUCGAAAUUGAAAGGCGGCUUCGGCUGUCACUUAUGGAUGGACCCGCGUCGCAUUAGCUAGUUGGUGAGGUAACGGCUCACCAAGGCAACGAUGCGUAGCCGACCUGAGAGGGGGAUCGGCCAAACUGGGACUGGGACACGGCCCAGACUCCUACGGGAGGCAGCAGGAGGGAAUCUUCCGCAAUGGACGAAAGUCUGACGGAGCAACGCCGCGUGAGUGAUGAAGGCUUUCGGGUCGUAAAACUCUGUUGUUAGGGAAGAACAAGUGCUAGUUGAAUAAGCUGGCACCUUGACGGUACCUAACCAGAAAGCCACGGCUAACUACGUGCCAGCCGCCGCGGUAA